rnacentral:rRNA from 1 species
AACGAACGCUGGCGGCAUGCCUAACACAUGCAAGUCGAACGAGACCUUCGGGUCUAGUGGCGCACGGGUGCGUAACGCGUGGGAACCUGCCCUUAGGUUCGGAAUAACUCCCCGAAAGGGGUGCUAAUACCGGAUAAUGUCUUCGGACCAAAGAUUUAUCGCCUUUGGAUGGGCCCGCGUUGGAUUAGCUAGUUGGUAAGGUAAAAGCCUACCAAGGCGACGAUCCAUAGCUGGUCUGAGAGGAUGAUCAGCCACACUGGGACUGAGACACGGCCCAGACUCCUAAGGGAGGAAGCAGUGGGGAAUAUUGGACAAUGGGCGAAAGCCUGAUCCAGCAAUGCCGCGUGAGUGAUGAAGGCCGUAGGGUUGUAAAGCUCUUUUACCCGGGAUGAUAAUGACAGUACCGGGAGAAUAAGCUCCGGGUAACUCCGUG